CUCCGAUCUUUUUUUUGAAGACCCACUUCAUCCUAUUGGGGUCACACCCUCAGGUGCAUCAACCAAGGUCCACACUUGGUUAGUGUACAUCGAGUCCAUCUCAGAUUUCAUGGCUUUCAGCCAUCUGUCUGAUUCUCUACUCAUGACAGCUUUCGAAUAGGUCAGUAGAUCAUCAUCCUGAAUGAUGUUGAUCAUAUUGUUAUCAAAUCUCAGAGGUGCAUGAUGCACUCU
rnacentral:lncRNA from 1 species